UUGUGAAAAAGGCAAAACAGAUGAAAGUCUGUGACGCAAAGCUUCCGGUCUAAGGCGCUGAACAACAGUAAGCACUAUGAUAGCGGGGUUACCAGA
rnacentral:ncRNA from 1 species